CCUCAGUAACGGCGAGUGAAGCGGCAACAGCUCAAAUUUGAAAUCUGGCUCCUUCGGGGCCCGAGUUGUAAUUUGCAGAGGAUGCGUCGGGUACGGGUGCCUUCCGAGUUCCCUGGAACGGGACGCCAUAGAGGGUGAGAGCCCCGUCUGGUAGGAUACCCAGCCCGUGUGACGCUCCCUCGACGAGUCGAGUAGUUUGGGAAUGCUGCUCUAACGGGAGGUAUACUCCUUCCAAGGCUAAAUACCGGCUGGAGACCGAUAGCGCACAAGUAGAGUGAUCGAAAGAUGAAAAGCACUUUGAAAAGAGAGUCAAACAGCACGUGAAAUUGUUAAAAGGGAAGCGCUCGCUACCAGACUUGGGUUCGGCGGUUCAACCGGGGCCACGCCCCGGGGCAUUCCGCCGGCCCAGGCCAGCAUCAGCUUUCCGUCGGGGGUAAAGGCGUCGGGAAUGUGGCUCCCCUUCGGGGGAGUGUUAUAGCCCGUCGUGUCAUACCCUUCGGGGGGCUGAGGUACGCGCUUCUGCAAGGAUGCUGGCGUAAUGGUAGCUAGUGACCCGUCUUGAAACACGGACCAAGGAGUCAACCUUAUGUGCGAGUGCCCGGGCGUAAAACCCCAGCGCGGAAUGAAAGUGAACGUAGGUGAGAGCUUCGGCGCAUCACCGACCGAUCCUGAUGUCCUCGGACGGAUUUGAGUGAGAGCAUAUAGGGUUGGACCCGAAAGAAGAUGAACUAUGCGUGUGUAGGGUGAAGCCAGAGGAAACUCUGGUGGAGGCUCGCAGCGGUUCUGACGUGCAAAUCGAUC
rnacentral:rRNA from 1 species